rnacentral:lncRNA from 1 species
CAAUCAGUUCACAACAUAUUCAUAUAUAUAUAUAUAUAUAUAUAUUCACAUAUUGACAACAUCACAUAACUAUAUACAUAUUCAUAUAACUACAUAUUCACAACUUUUCAAAUGUGCCAUAUUCAUAUACAUAUAACUGUCAGAACUACACAGAACAGAACUACCAUAUAUUCAUAUAACUAUCCCUUGCAGCAUGCCAUUUCCCGGCAAAUCAAAUAAUUUUCAUUUCAAUCACAUACAGACACCAGUCUUCCUUUAUUUCAAUUAGAUCUCUUUCAGAGUAUGUUGGACUGGAACUGUCAAAGUACUGUGCGAUAUAAAAAUUGAACAUAAAUAAGUUAGAAUCAAAUAUAUACAUAGUUUAUAUAUGAAAAUCAAAUAAUGAAAAUAUCGUACCGUUUUUGAGAUUAUAGUUUGAUUCAUAUCAACAAUCUCCUUCAUGAAUCGCAAUAUAUAGUACCUACAGUCGAUGUUGUUAGUUUGACAAGGGCACUAUAAAAUAAAACAUAUAAGUCAAUAAAUAUUUGUGCAUUGAUAGCAGUAUAAGUUCAACAUGCAUUUUAGUGAAACAAAAAACUAAUAAAUACAAUACCUGAAAAACAGAAGAACAAUAGGGUUAUAGCGCAGAAAUACGAACAAAGAAGAAUAGCGCAGAAAUACGAACGGUUCGUAGGAGAGUAGGGUUCGCAGAAACAAAGAUGGUUUGCAAUGACAAGGAAAACGAAUAGGAAACAAGCCUAUGAAGUUUAUGCAAUGAGGGUUAGUAACAAGACAAUAUUGUUUGUAGGGUUUGCAAUGAGAAGGAGAAUGAAGAGGAGGAGAAAACAAACGUAUGAAGUUUAUGUAAUGAAGAGGAAACUAAAGCGGUUUAGGGAUAGUAUUUGAAUGAGAGUUGGUAGGGAUAGUAACAAAGAUGAAGAUGGUUCGCAAUGGAGAUGGUUGGCAAUAUGGUUCGUAUGAAGAGUAGGGUUCGCAAUGAGAAAGACAAUGAAGAGGAGGAAGACUCUGAAGCAUAAUGAAGUUUACGAAAUGAAGAGGAAACUGAAGCGGUUUACUAUUAUAUAUAAAACUCUAUUACAACGCUCAUUGAAAGAGCACUAUAAAAGACCUCCUUAACUUAGUUUUUAAAAGCCUAUUACAGCGCUCUUUGAAAUAGUGAUGUAAAAGACCUCCUUAACUUAUUUUUUAAAAGCCUAUUACAGCGCUCUUUGAAAGAGCGUUGUGAAAGACCUCCUUAACUUAAUUUUUAAAAGCCUACUACAGCGCUCUUUGAAAGAGCGCUGUAAAAGACCUCCUUAACUUAUUUUUUAAAAGCCUAUUACAGCGCUCUUUGAAAUAGUGAUGUAAAAGACCUCCUUAACUUAUUUUUUAAAAGCCUAGUACAGCGCGUUUUCAACAAUCGCUUUAAAAGACCUCUUAACUUAGUAUAAAACAAAGCUUUGUGACCUCCUUAUUUUUUUAAAGGCUUUUAUAGCGCUUAUUGACAAAAGCGCUGUAAAAGAUCUCCUUAUUUUACUUUUUAAAAGCCUAUUACAACGUUUUUUUAACAAACACUUUAAAAGACUUAUUUAAUUUAGUAUAAAACAAAGCUUUGUGACCUCCUUAUUUUUUUAAAGGCUUUUAUAGCGCUUAUUAACAAAAGCGCUGUAAAAGACCUCCUUAACUUAUUUUUUAAAAGCCUAUUACAACGCUCUUUGAAAGAGCGUUGUAAAAGACCUCCUUAUUUUAUUUUUUAAAAGCCUAUUACAACGCUCUUUGAAAGAGCGCUGUAAAAGAUCUCCUUAUUUUAUUUUUUAAAAACCUAUUACAACGCUUUUUCAACAAGCGCUUUAAAAACCUCUUAACUUAGUAUAAAAUAAAUAAUUAGUAAAAUACCUAUAUUUGAAAGCCAUGUAACAUAAGGUGGGAGCGCUACAUUUUACGGCGUUUGUGUUUAAAGCGCUCAAAAAGCGUUGUAAAAACUACGGGAGAGCGCUUCAAUUUACAACGCUUUUACAAAAAGCGUUGUAAACAGGUUGAAAGCAUUAUGUGCAAGCGCUAUGUGACCCUAUAUGAUCCUACAACAGCGUUUUUUCUUUAGCGCUUGUAAAAAAAGCGCUGUUGUAUAAGCGCUGUAAAAGACGCGCUAUAAUAUGUCAUUUUUGACAUAAUGUUAAUAAUAAUUUUUGAGUGAAUAAUUAAAUUAACAAAAUUUAUUAUUUAUAUUAAAUUAUUAAAAAAAUAACUUACCACAUACUUAUUUUUGGAAUCAUCGAAUCUCUACUCUAUAUAUAUAAACAAUUAAUUUAUAUAUAUCCAUAAAUACGAAAUGUUCUUUUGGAUACUAUAAUUGACAUAUCAUAUUCUCACUUUCAAUGCAAAUGGUUAGAACUCAUUCAUCAAAUCACAAUAAUUAAGUAGUAUGUAAUUUGUUGACAAUUGAUAAUAUUUUUAUAAUUUUAUCUUGUAAAAAUGAAAACUAGUUAUAAUUAGUUAUAUAAAAAUAUGCAAAUUAAUUAAAAAUAUCUUAGUAAAAAAAUAAUUAAUUAAUAUACUUAAAAAUUCAAAAAAAAAAAGACAAAGAGAGUAAUUUGUGACGAGGCUCUUUUAUUUAGAGAUAAUGAUAGUACUUUUGUAAGAAGCAAAGAGAGUAAUUACUAUUUAAGAAUAUAUAUGGAUGGAAAAAAAUAAAUAAAACACCCGAAGAUAAAUUAAAAAAAUCUAAGACACCCAAAGUUUUGGAAAACAAUAAAAAAUGCUUAUAAUCGAAUAUUUGUAAAUGGAGGAAGUAAUAGUUUUUAUUUGCAGGUUAUUAUAUGGAUUAAAUAAUUUUUUAAUCCUUAUAAAAAAAUUCUCAAUUUUUUAAUAUAUUUUUUUUAUAAUUAUUUUUAUAUUAUUAUUACUGCAUUACAUUACUUUUACACACAUUAAAGGAGUUUGGGCUAACAAAAUUAAUUUUCUAAAAUGUGGCGAAUUAUAUAUGGUUCGAAUUUCUAUCGGAGUGAGACAUUGUAAUUUAAUAUUUUUUAUAGGUAGUAUUUUUUAAACAACAAAAACAAUAUAUUCAACAACGAAAAAGAAAAAAAGGGGAGAAUGCUAGGAGCAAUCCAACCACUUCCACCAAAAAAGUCAAAUCGGCAAAAGAAAUAAAAAUUAUUUGAUUUUUUGGAUCAAGUAUAUCCCCUAUGAAUACAGGUCAAAUGAUUAAUGCACCACUCAUAUAUAAUAAAGACAUUUUCCACCAUUUUUUCUAGCUAAAAACCACUUCGAAAAAUAAACGUGUGGAAUAGUCUCAAUCACAUUAGGGAUAAUAUUAGAGAAUAUAUAACCAUUCUUCAUACUUCAAAUAUGACAAAUUACUUAGUCAAAUCAAGAACAAGUUGUCUUCCCCUAUCCCUUUGCACCAAAAGAAGCAAAAUUAUGGAGAAACAUGGUAAGAUUAUGUACACUACCAUCCAAACUUCUUUCGAAAAAUCAUACAACAACAUGAACAUAUCGAGGUUCAAACUUGUGAUUCCUAGAACACAACCUCAAUACACAAUGUGUUUCACUUCUCGAAUGAGUUAGAUAGACAAUUAAGAGAUUCUUUAGGAGCUCUCUAUGUAACUCUUGUUGAAAGGAAGUUGGUUUUGAAUACAAUGCUUAUUAUGAUGUAUUUAUAAUUAAAAAAACAAUUCAUAACUAGAGAACAAUUUAUCCUCUUUAAGUGUGUGGAGAAUAUAUUUAGCAUAACAAUGUUAAGAAUAGUUGAGUUCAUGGGAUAACAAUCCUCUAGUUAUUACUAAAGCUAUGAAGCGCAUAGGAAUACAAGAGCCGAAGAACAUUUGGUUAUUGAAGAUUAAAAAAUAGUUAUUUCAUUAAAAGAAGUCGAAUGAGUGUUUUCUUAAAUGCCUACAUAUGAUAAUGAUGACAUCUGGUAUAAGUAAAUUACCAGAUGGUAGAAAUAUCACACCAAUUAUUUAGAUCAAAUUUGAUAAUAGAUUUGAAUAAUCUGAUUAUACAUAGACAACCUAUAAAGUAGACCAGUCAUACAAAUCUAGUGACAAGACAUCUACAAAACGACUAUAUCUUUAACGAUUCUUUUCUAAAGUGUUAUAAAAGACAAUCAAAUAAAAUGUUGAAUUGAGCGACCUUGGUGUAUCAAAGGAAUAUUAUUAGUUAGGCUUUGGUUGUAUUCCAAAUUAUUAUUUUGAAGUAUGUCCCUAUGAGACUGUUUUGAUGAACAUCCAUGGUCGAAGAGAAAGUGAGCAAUAUGACUCGGUAUUCCUAAGUCACAAUGAGAGACAAGAAAACGACGAAGUUCAAUUUAAUAAAAUAUAACCAGAAAAAAAACAUUGAACAAGAAAAAGAAAUAGAUCGUAAAAUGUUCCACCACUAAGAGUUAUUUGUCUUGUUGUAAAUCAACGAAGAUCUUAUUGUUCAUGUUCUUUAAUGAGGGUUAUAACUUGGUUCGACAUAGAAUUUUGUUCUUCGCAUAUCGUCAUAACGAAGUCAGAACCUUAGAUGAUUUUGUAUCACAACAUAUACAAACUAAAUAUUUGUGAGUGGUCUGACAAUGACAACAACCCUUUAUGUAAAAAAGGAUGUAUGGAGAGGCUAGAAUACUCGUAUACGUCAACAAGAGAGUUGUCAGUUCCUAGAAAGACCAAGUUUGGUGAGACUGGUGGGGCUAAUCAAGAAUACAUGUUGCAAAUCAUGGUAAGGCUAUAGAGAAUAAAUUUAUGAUGCCUGAAAAGGCUUAGAUAAUACUCGUGUUCUUUGGCAUGGAAAGUGAAGUUGGAUUUGCUGAAAAGGUCCUUAUGGUGUUGAUUUUCGGAGAAACUAAUUAUACUCAACUCCAGAGGCAAGUGAUGUUGGUUCUUGAGGUAAUCCAAAGAAUGUACUUCUAGUGACCCAUAAAUGCUCUAUAGUACUCAAUGUCUGGAGAGGAAAGAAAAUAACACUUGUUGACUAUAGAGGUGGAUAAUACUCAACUUAAGAGGCGAGCGGAGUUGGAAUCUCGGGGAAUCAAGAUAAUGUAUUUCUGGUGAUUUGAAGAGGCCUUACAAUACUCAAUGCUUGGAGAGGCAAGGAAACAAUACUCAUUGUCUGGAUAGGUGAAUAAUACUCAAUUGUUGGAUACACAAGAAAAUAAUAUUUAGCUUGGAAACACUUAACGAAUACACAAUGCCUAUAGAGGCGAAUUGAAUAAUAAUCUCAUUUUGUAGUGAAUUAAGUUCUUCAUUGUACUAAAGAAAAAUCUUUCUUUCAAUGAAGGACUAGAUAUAGAAAAAAUAGUUAUGAACUAUUGUAAACAUUAUUAAGUGCCUAUAUAGGUGAAUUGAAUAAUAAUAUCAUUUUGAUAAAGAACUUCAAAUUAAAAAAAAAAAAUUAAAAUAGUUGUUGUGCCAAGACAUGUGCAAGUAUACACAAUCAAACAAGAAAUAAAGUGAUAAAUAAAUAUUUUUCCCACAAUGAUUUCUUUAGUUUAAUUUUCAGUUUUUAUGAGAACGUUACAUAAUAUUUAUGCAAAUGUCAUUAGCAACUCUCAUGUGACCAUAGUGAAUAGUCAUUUGACUUGAAGUCACUACAAUCGCUACUUGGGUAAUUGUAUACUUUGAGGUCAUUUAACAUUAUCUAUAGCAAGACAAUCAUAAAAGUGAUUAUUGAAUCUACAAUAAACCAUGUAGAGGGAUAUGAGUGAUGUAAAUAAGAUUCAUCUAUCCUGCAUAAUAGGAGUUGUGUCUUGGACUUCUUGAAAGAGUGAUAUGUGAAAAUUGCAUGACUACACCAAAAUGGAACAAUAUAUGAUAUUGGAUACACUAGUGAUUGCACUUAUACUCGGGAAUCGAGAAACAAAUUAUUGAACAUAACAAGGAUGACACCUUUUAUGCAUUGUGUUUAGAGCCAUGGUCGUUUAUGCCGUAUUUUUGUUGGUGUUCAUUUAACAUACCUAAAUAUUUUACGGAAUAAAGAGUUAUUAAUAAAGAGUCAUUAUUAGUAAAUAUUUUGAGGUGUAUUAAAUAAUUAACUUUAAUUAAUUAUUAAUGGUAUAUAGUUAUGGUGUUAAUAUGUUUGGUGAUUAUUUUAUUUUAUUCAAAUACAACAUUGUGUCCAAGUUUAUUUUAAAAUAUGACUUGUGUUUCGUAACAAUUGAUUUAUGUAUUUUAUUUAUUUUAAAUAAUUGUAACUGUCCACGAUGACUAGAGGCAACACUAUAAAAUAACGCUAGUGGGGAGGUUUUAGAAGUUAACUCAAAGGCUGAAGACUUGUAAUUUAUAUUUAGUUGUCUUUCGUGUUAGGUGGCCAUAACCAUAUUACCUAGUCCUAUAUAUUUUAUAUAUGAUGCUUGAUAGGUAAGAUGCGUGUUAGCAUAAUUUAUAUAUAUGUCAUUCAUAUGCUUUAAAAUGUGAGAGUAUAUAUACAAGCAUGUUAAGAGAUGUUUGUAUGAAAUACAAAAGCUCAUGAGAUCGCUUAAUAAAGAUACCCCUAAUUAAAUAUAAAGUUUAAUAUCUUCCAAUGUGUGACACUCGUCAAAGUCAUUAUUGUAUAAAGUAGGUCAUGCUAAAGCUGCGUACACUAUGUAUAUGUUUAUUACAUGAUACUUAUAUAUCUGUUUUUCUGUUUUAGACUAACAAAGUAUGGAAACGCAACCAACACAAUUUCAUUGCAAAGUAUCUUUGAGAAGGAAAAGUUUUCUAGAACUAACUUCCUCAAUUGCCACUGAAACAUCAGGAUUGUCCUGAAACAUAUCAGGAAAUUAUAUGUGCUCGAAGGGCCUAUGUCUGAACAAUCUGUUGCAAAUGCUACUAGGGCUAAACGCGAUGCUUAUAAGAAGCAUCAAGACAAUGCCUUAUAUACUUCAUUCAACCAUGAACUCAUACUUGCAAAAGAAGCAUGAGAACAUGGAGACUUUCGAUAUGAUUGAACACUUUAAAAAUGCUAUUUCAAGUGCAUGCUAGGAAAGAAAAAUUUGAAGUAUCAAAAGAAGUCCAGUUGGACCUUAUGUAUUCUAGAUGAUUGGGUACAUUGAAAAACUAGAGAGUCUGUAAUUUCCUUUGGACCUAGAACUGACAAAGACAAUAAAUGUAUUUACUUUCAGCUCUUUUCAAACUUCAUUUUUCCCACCCACAUAUUCCAAUACACCUUCAUCAUUCUUAAAAAAAGUUUUGAUAAGGAAAUAGAUUAAAACUAAGCAACAUUAGAUAAAAUAGCAACUGAUCACAUAAUUAUAAAAUGAUUUUUUUUAAAGUAAACAAAAAAAAAAUAUAUUAAAAAAAAAUACAUUACAACAUGGAGAAAUGAUUUGCAACUAACCUUGAUGCCGAAUGAAGAAAACGAACGAGAAAAUAAAGCGAAAAUGGGACAAUGAUGUUUGCAAGAAUGGGUAUAAGAGAACACAAAAGGUUUCUUUUCAAGGAUUGACGAACAAGAAGAUUCAUGAUUUUGUUUUUAAAGACUUUAUUUUGACUUGAUUAUACUAUAAACAAAGAGGUUUUCU